rnacentral:rRNA from 1 species
CGUCCUCUCAGGGUUAGUCGGGACCUAAGCCGAGGCCGACAGGCGUAGGCGAUGGAUAACAGGUUGAUAUUCCUGUACCACCUCCCUACCAUUUGAGUAAUGGGGGGACACAGUAGGAUAGGGUAAGCGCACUGUUGGUUAUGUGCGUUCAAGCAGUAAGACGUGAGGGUAGGCAAAUCCGCUCUCUAUAACGUUGAGCUGUGAUGACGAGCUCUUAUGAGCGAAGUUCCUGAUUUCACACUGUCAAGAAAAGCCUCUAGCGAGGUAGGAGGUGCCCGUACCGCAAACCGACACAGGUAGUCGAGGAGAGAAUCCUAAGGUGAGCGAGAGAACUCUCGUUAAGGAACUCGGCAAAAUGACCCCGUAACUUCGGGAGAAGGGGUGCUCUAGUAGGGUGCAAGCCCGAGAGAGCCGCAGUGAAUAGGCCCAGGCGACUGUUUAGCAAAAACACAGGUCUCUGCAAAACCGUAAGGUGACGUAUAGGGGCUGACGCCUGCCCGGUGCUGGAAGGUUAAGGGGAUUGCUUAGCGUAAGCGAAGGUGAGAACCGAAGCCCCAGUAAACGGCGGCCGUAACUAUAACGGUCCUAAGGUAGCGAAAUUCCUUGUCGGGUAAGUUCCGACCCGCACGAAAGGCGUAACGAUCUGGGCACUGUCUCAACGAGAGACUCGGUGAAAUUAUAGUACCUGUGAAGAUGCAGGUUACCCGCGACAGGACGGAAAGACCCCGUGGAGCUUUACUGUAGCCUGAUAUUGAAUUUUGGUACAGCUUGUACAGGAUAGGUAGGAGCCGUAGAAACCGGAGCGCCAGCUUCGGUGGAGGCGUCCUUGGGAUACUACCCCAGCUGUAUUGAAAUUCUAACCCAUACCCCUAAGCGGGGUAGGAGACAGUGUCAGGCGGACAGUUUGACUGGGGCGGUCGCCUCCUAAAGAGUAACGGAGGCGCCCAAAGGUUCCCUCAGAAUGGUUGGAAAUCAUUCGYAGAGUGUAAAGGCACAAGGGAGCUUGACUGCGAGACCUACAAGUCGAGCAGGGUCGAAAGACGGGCUUAGUGAUCCGGUGGUUCCGCAUGGAAGGGCCAUCGCUCAACGGAUAAAAGCUACCCCGGGGAUAACAGGCUUAUCUCCCCCAAGAGUCCACAUCGACGGGGAGGUUUGGCACCUCGAUGUCGGCUCAUCGCAUCCUGGGGCUGUAGUCGGUCCCAAGGGUUGGGCUGUUCGCCCAUUAAAGCGGUACGCGAGCUGGGUUCAGAACGUCGUGAGACAGUUCGGUCCCUAUCCGUCGUGGGCGUAGGAAAUUUGAGAGGAGCUGUCCUUAGUACGAGAGGACCGGGAUGGACACACCGCUGGUGUACCAGUUGUCUUGCCAAAGGCAUCGCUGGGUAGCUAUGUGUGGACGGGAUAAGUGCUGAAAGCAUCUAAGCAUGAAGCCCCCCUCAAGAUGAGAUUUCCCAUUACGCAAGUAAGUAAGAUCCCUUGAAGACGACAAGGUAGAUAGGUUCGAGGUGGAAGUGUGGUGACACAUGGAGCUGACGAAUACUAAUAGAUCGAGGACUUAACCAAA